CCUGUCUUAACCUACUUGGCUUUGCAGCAUGCAAUAGGAGCAAAGCAGCACAAAGGCAGCCAGAUGUGAUUUAAGGUUUUGUUUGCUAAAAGAAGACUUCCAAAGUUCACUAAGUAAACUCAAACUCGCUGAGUCUGGGGCAGGCGCAGCCGGCUCCGCAUCUCUUUCAAUGAAAUUCUUCUUCCAUUAAGAACGCGGUUUUUGAACAUGCCUCCAAGACCCGCCUGCACGUACUGUACACCAAACUAAGACGACAUUUUCCCCCCAAAAAGGCAAACUGAAUUUUCAAAAGCCAGAGGAACUAGGGACUUCUAGAGUUUCUAAAGUUUGCCUUAAAGC